rnacentral:rRNA from 1 species
UUCCGGUUGAUCCUGCCAGAGGUCACUGCUAUCGGGGUUCGAUUAAGCCAUGCGAGUCGAGAGGGUUCGGCCCUCGGCGUACUGCUCAGUAACACGUGGAUAACCUGCCCUAGGGGAGGGGAUAACCCCGGGAAACUGGGGAUAAUACCCUAUAGGUUACAGAUGCUGGAAUGCCCUGUAACCAAAAGCUCCGGCGCCCUAGGAUGGAUCUGCGGCCGAUUAGGUUGUUGUUGGGGUAACGGCCCAACAAGCCCGUAAUCGGUACGGGUUGUGGGAGCAAGAGCCCGGAGUUGGAUUCUGAGACACGAAUCCAGGCCCUACGGGGCGCAGCAGGCGCGAAACCUUUACAAUGCGGGCAACCGUGAUAAGGGAACCUCGAGUGCCUGUAAACGCAGGCUGUUCAGGUGUUUAAAACGCACCUGGAGAAAGGGCCGGGCAAGACCGGUGCCAGCCGCCGCGGUAAUACCGGCGGCUCGAGUGGUGGCCGCUUUUAUUGGGCUUAAAGCGUUCGUAGCUGGGUUGUUAAGUCUCUUGGGAAAUCUGGCGGCUUAACCGUCAGGCGUCUAAGGGAUACUGGCAAUCUUGGAACCGGGAGAGGUGAGGGGUACUUCGGGGGUAGGGGUGAAAUCCUGUAAUCCUCGAGGGACCACCUGUGGCGAAGGCGCCUCACCAGAACGGCUUCGACAGUGAGGGACGAAAGCUGGGGGAGCAAACCGGAUUAGAUACCCGGGUAGUCCCAGCCGUAAACGA